rnacentral:rRNA from 1 species
CCCUUAGAUGUCCGGGGCUGCACGCGCGCUACACUGAAGGAAUCAGCGUGCUAAAACCAUUGUCGAAAGGCAUUGGUAAACCCAUUAAAAUCCUACGUGAUUGGGAUCGGGAAUUGCAAUUAUUUCCCUUGAACGAGGAAUUCCCAGUAAGUGUGGGUCAUAAGCUCGCGUUGAUUACGUCCCUGCCCUUUGUACACACCGCCCGUCGCUGCCCGGGACUGAGCCGUUUCGAGAAAAGCGGGGACUGCUGCUGUCGGGGCUUUCGGGCCUUGGCUUCGGUGGAAACCGCUGUAAUCGCAGUGGCUUGAACCGGGCAAAANUCGUAACA